rnacentral:rRNA from 1 species
UACGGAGGGUGCAAGCGUUAAUCGGAAUUACUGGGCGUAAAGCGUGCGCAGGCGGUUUGUUAAGUCCGCUGUGAAAUCCCCGAGCUCAACUUGGGAAUUGCAGUGGAUACUGGCAAGCUGGAGUAUGGUAGAGGAAGGUGGAAUUCCCGGUGUAGCAGUGAAAUGCGUAGAGAUCGGGAGGAACACCAGUGGAGAAGGCGGCCUUCUGGACCAAUACUGACGCUCAUGCACGAAAGCGUGGGGAGCAAACAGG